UACGGAGGGUGCGAGCGUUGUCCGGAAUCACUGGGCGUAAAGGGCGCGUAGGCGGCCUGGUAAGUAGGGGGUGGAAAUCCUGCGGCUCAACCGCAGGGCUGCCUUCUAAACUGUCAGGCUCGAGCACGGUAGAGGCAGAUGGAAUUCCCAGUGUAGCGGAUGGAAUGCGUAGAGAUCGGGAAGAACAGUCAGGUGGCGAAG
rnacentral:rRNA from 1 species